ensembl:antisense B430119L08Rik RIKEN cDNA B430119L08 gene
AUCUGUAUUCAUCCUUUUCGUUUUCCCCAGCCUUGCUCUGAACUACCUCCACAUCCUGUGCUGCCCUGCAGUCACACAGGACAUCAGGACAUUGCCAUGGUCACCUUGCUGAGCUUCAGGGGAGCAUUCUCCUCUGUGAUUCCGGAGAGGUCAGCCCCAUUGUUGAAGAUCCGGGUGAUGCCCAGUGGACUCAUGAGUGUCUUCAAGUUAUAGUUUCCAGAGAUGGACAGUCUGGGGAAGUGGAUCUGAGCAUCGCUGGUGGGCAGGAACUUAGAGAUGAGCUCCUUGUUGAGAGUUUGCUCUAGAUGCUGCAUCUUCCCAUCAUCGGGCAGGAGGAAGACAGCAGUGGUGUUGCCUACGUAAUCCAUCAGCAGCACCCAGCUGGACAGCAUGCUGCAAUGAUGCACGUCAAGCAUGCCCGAGAGGGUCAUCAUGGGCACCUUCACUGUGGUGGACUCGUCCACAUGGAACUCAGCUUCCUCAGUGUUCUCAGGAUCGAAUGGCUGUUUCCAUUUGCCUGAAGAGGGGAGAGUGAGAGCAGACCUUAGACAAUGAGGUGGUGACACAGACUGUUGACUUUUCAUGUGCAUGGGGGUGGGAGGGGGUGGCACUAGUAGCCUUCUAGGCUGCCCAGGCACUUUGGUUAGGGUAACUCAGGACUCAAGGAGGACUUAGAUUUUCCAGACCACAGAAGCUGAGAGCUACCAUCCCCGUUGUGCUUAGAAAAUAUCUUACAUAAUUGUUAUAUACUUAUAGAAAGGUGACUUGGGGUUAUCAAUGGAAUUCCUGACAAUUCUAUUUGUUAGCUUCUUAUCAGGAGUGGCACACUCAUUGGCAAUUCAGUCAUCACUCAGGACAAAUGUUUUCUGGCACCUCAAGCCCCUUUCAACAUUCAAGGGUUCAGUACAGAAGCCUAUCUGCUGUAUAAGAAUACUGGAGUAGGUGGGGACUUUGGGGAACCAUCAACAAGAACCCAUCAGAAUGGCUUAGAGUCUCAGAGACAUAUCAACAAGGCCACUAGAGUGGGAGAGGCUCCAGGGAACCUGUCACCAAGGUCAUUGGAGUGGACACAGGUCUCAGGGACCCAUCUCUGAAGCUGUCAGAGUGGGCAGGGUUCUCAGGGACCCAAGAUCAAGGCUGUCGGCAAGAGAAGGACAACAGGAAUCCUAACUUCACCUUCCUUUUGGAUAGGAAUUGGUGAAUGGGUUGGGGUGGAGUUGACACCUACACUUGUCACAGAAGUGCUGGGACUUGAGCUGUGCUGGCCUGAUAGUCUCCUCCACAGGACUCUGUUGGUGGCAAGGGAGUCAUGAAGGCCAGAGCAGCUUCUGCUUUUGACUCCAAUCUCUGAAGAGUCUUGACCUAAUGACUUCCAGGCUGGAGGCCCUGCUUGGGAUGUUAGUUGAUCAGGUGCUUAUGUCAGUGCACUGGGUAACCUCCCUAAUUCUUUAAUUUCCCACACAGCAGUCAGAUAGCUUUGUCCUUUGUAAUAUGGACAGUCACACCCCAAACAGGUAAAAUGGCUGGUCCAAUAUCAAGGCUAAUAGAUUAGAGUGGCCAGAUUCGAGCCAAUGUUUCCCGAGGUCAAAAUGGUGGUUUGCAACAGAGGGGCUGAUCAAGUACACUCCAUGGAAUGGUACUCUCUUCAGACCAUCACAACCAGGACGGUUGGUUCUGAAGCUGGGGAAGGAGUGCACAUUCUACAACUCUCCUUUGUAGGGGAGAUGAACAUUAGGACAAACAAGGACCCAAUCAGUCCUUCAAAGAAGUCAGUGGACUUGAUGUUUGAAGCCAAUUCCUAAGCUUAAUUGAUAAUUUGAAAGAUGUCAGAGUUUACACAUCAUAGAGUAGGGAACGUGAUGGAGCAAUACCACAGCCUGGCAUGAGAGCUUAGAAACUGGUCCUCAAGAAUAUGUAUGGGUGUCUCCAUGGACGCCAACUCAAGCUGGUUCUGCCACUUACCUUUAAAGAGAAUGUAAUUCGCCA